GAGGGUCCAACAGGAGCAGCUUCUGAAAAAUCAAUGAUAGGAUAAGACACAGAUGAAGAUGGAGUUUGAGGAACAGCAGGCACUGAAAAGCCUUGGUCACUGAUGGGAUAUGCCUCAGAUGAAGAUUGUAUAGGUGGUUGGGAAACAGGUACUACAACACCUUGAUCAAUGAUGGGAUAACUCACGAAUGAGGAUGUAGGAACAGGGUCUGGGACAUCACUGUUGUUUACUGUCUGCUCCUUUGUUGACUGUUCAGUAACCAUGUGCUUCACUGGCACGGGGCCUGCACCAGAGCUACAAAGCUCAGUAACAAAAUCAGCAUUCAUAUCCGCAAUGUGAGAGUCUUUUUGGCC
rnacentral:lncRNA from 1 species